rnacentral:snRNA from 1 species
GGAUCUGAGGGUGAUCUGGCAGCGAUAUCCAUCACUCCAUUGAUCACCAGGGUUGAUUCUGGCUGGCUUGGUGGGUGUCUUCUUCCUCCCUCACUGUUCCAUGGGUGUCCCUCUCAGAGCUGUUUACCUUCCCCAAUAGAGACAGGCCAGUCUUUGGCCAAGGGUAUACGAGUAGCUGCGCCCCCUUGCUAGUACCUCCAAACAAGUUCUCAAGAUCUAAAGUCAGUCCUCAUAAUAGGCCUGUGAACUAGACAUGGUCAUGGCUGCUGCUGCGUUGUGCCCAU